AGGUAAGAAGUGUUUUACACGCUUUAGCUUCGAAUUAAAGAAAGAAUUAUUUCCUUACCUU
rnacentral:tRNA from 1 species